rnacentral:lncRNA from 1 species
GAAACCUGGUUCUAGAACCCAGUGCAGAAAAAUUAACAAUAUUGCCAGCUAUUAACCAUUCCCAGGGCUGUGGAACAAGUAAAUUGAAUAAGGAAGGAAAAAUGAUUCCACUCGAUUGGCCUUUCCGGGAAUCCAGUCCAGCUCUAGGUUAUACUGGCCUUGAAGUGCCGCAUCCUCUGGCUAGUGGCCUCUUGACGGAUCGGUGCAUAGAGAUUCCAUCAAAGAAAGCGGAAGCACAAGGAAACUAGUGGGAUGCUGAUGUUUGAAAAGGUGUCAAUAAAGGCUCUCCACUCAAAGAGAGAAACCAAAGCCAGGAGAUAUCGGAUAGCCGCACCUGUGGUAAAGGCCUUCUGCUCUUGGGCAGUUGUAUGCAGGAUCCCUUUUACAUACCUCUACACCUCUGCUUAUUCUGGCACCCACAGAAACAUUACAAGAAUGCAGGGCUUUGCAGCAGUCAGUUCCCCCGCUGGUCUGCUCCGUGUCUCAAGUCCAUCUACACCGAAAGCCUCGUCUCUGAACAGUACAAAGUGGUGGCUAAGGAUAAAAGAAUGGGUGCAGAUGAAACAGAAUUUUCUACCACCCUGAAUAUUCACCCUGCAUUUAAUCUAAAGGCAAAUAUUCCAACAUAAAUUUAUUUUUUAC